CCUACGGGUGGCAGCAGUGAGGAAUAUUGGUCAAUGGGCGCGAGCCUGAACCAGCCAAGUCGCGUGAGGGAAGACGGUCCUAUGGAUUGUAAACCUCUUUUGUCGGGGAGCAAAAGACGCCACGCGUGGCGUUCCGAGAGUACCCGAAGAAAAAGCAUCGGCUAACUCCGUGCCAGCAGCCGCGGUAAUACGGGGGAUGCGAGCGUUAACCGGAUUUAUUGGGUUUAAAGGAUGCGCAGGCGGAAGAUCAAGUCAGCGGGAAAAUUGAGAGGCUCAACCUCGUCGAGCCAUUGAAACUGGUUGUCUUGAGUGAGCGAGAGGUAUGCGGAAUGCGUGGUGUAGCGGUGAAAUGCAUAGAUAUCACGCAGAACACCGAUGGCGAAGGCAGCAUACCGGCGCUCAACUGACGCUGAUGCACGAAAGUGUGGGGAUCGAACAGGAUUAGAUACCCGAGUAGUC
rnacentral:rRNA from 1 species